rnacentral:rRNA from 1 species
UACGAAGGGGGCUAGCGUUGCUCGGAAUCACUGGGCGUAAAGCGCACGUAGGCGGAUUGUUAAGUCAGGGGUGAAAUCCUGGAGCUCAACUCCAGAACUGCCUUUGAUACUGAGAGGCUUGAGUCCGGGAGAGGUGAGUGGAACUGCGAGUGUAGAGGUGAAAUUCGUAGAUAUUCGCAAGAACACCAGUGGCGAAGGCGGCUCACUGGCCCGGUACUGACGCUGAGGUGCGAAAGCGCGGGGAGCAAACAGG